rnacentral:rRNA from 1 species
GAUGAACGCUGGCGGCGUGCCUAAUACAUGCAAGUCGAGCGAACAGACGAGGAGCUUGCUCCUCUGACGUUAGCGGCGGACGGGUGAGUAACACGUGGAUAACCUACCUAUAAGACUGGGAUAACUUCGGGAAACCGGAGCUAAUACCGGAUAAUAUAUUGAACCGCAUGGUUCAAUAGUGAAAGACGGUUUUGCUGUCACUUAUAGAUGGAUCCGCGCCGCAUUAGCUAGUUGGUAAGGUAACGGCUUACCAAGGCAACGAUGCGUAGCCGACCUGAGAGGGGUAUCGGCCCACCGGAACUUGGGCCCCGGCCCAACCCCCUAGGGGGGCCAGCAGUGGGGACUUUUCCGAAAGGGGCGAAACCCUGACGGAGCACCGCCCGGUGAGUGAUGAAGUUCUUCGGUUCGUAAACCCCUUUUUUUGGGGAAGAACAAAUUUGUAAGUAACUAUGCCCGUCUUGACGGUACCUAAUCAGAAAGCCCCGGCUACCUCCGU